rnacentral:rRNA from 1 species
UACGGGGGGGGGCAAGCGUUGUUCGGAAUUACUGGGCGUAAAGGGCUCGUAGGCGGCCAACUAAGUCGGAUGUGAAAGCCCUGGGCUUAACCUAGGAAGUGCAUUCGAAACUUCUGAGCUUGAGUUCUGGAGAGGAAGGCGGAAUUCUCGGUGUAGAGGUGAAAUUCGUAGAUAUCGAGAGGAACACCGGUGGCGAAGGCGGCCUUCUGGACAGUGACUGACGCUGAGACGCGAAAGCGUGGGGAGCAAACAGG